AAGAUUUUAAGUUAAAUAAACUAAUAGCCUUCAAAGCUGUAAAUAGAAAGACAAUUUUUAAAUCUUA
rnacentral:tRNA from 1 species